rnacentral:rRNA from 1 species
CCCAGACUCCUACGGGAGGCAGCAGUGGGGGAUAUUGCACAAUGGGGGCAACCCUGAUGCAGCGACGCCGCGUGAGCGAUGGAGUACUUCGGUAUGUAAAGCUCUGUCAGCAGGGAAGAGAAUGACGGUACCUGACCAAGAAGCCCCGGCUAAAUACGUGCCAGCAGCCGCGGUAAUACGUAGGGGGCGAGCGUUAUCCGGAAUUACUGGGUGUAAAGGGAGCGUAGACGGCGAGGUAAGCCUGAAGUGGAAGCCCGCGGCCCAACCGCGGAACUGCUUUGGGAACUGUUUUGCUGGAGUAUGGGAGGGGUAAGCGGAAUUCCUGGUGUAGCGGUGAAAUGCGUAGAUAUCAGGAGGAACACCGGUGGCGAAGGCGGCUUACUGGACCAUAACUGACGUUGAGGCUCGAAAGCGUGGGGAGCGAACAGGAUUAGAUACCCUCGUAC